rnacentral:rRNA from 1 species
AUUGAACGCUGGCGGCAGGCCUAACACAUGCGAGUCGAGCGGAUGAAGGGAGCUUGCUCCUGGAUUCAGCGGCGGACGGGUGAGUAAUGCCUAGGAAUCUGCCUGGUAGUGGGGGAUAACGUCCGGAAACGGGCGCUAAUACCGCAUACGUCCUGAGGGAGAAAGUGGGGGAUCUUCGGACCUCACGCUAUCAGAUGAGCCUAGGUCGGAUUAGCUAGUUGGUGGGGUAAAUGCAUACCAAGGCGACGAUCCGUAACUGGUCUGAGAGGAUGAUCAGUCACACUGGAACUGAGACACGGUCCAGACUCCUACGGGAGGCAGCAGUGGGGAAUAUUGGACAAUGGGCGAAAGCCUGAUCCAGCCAUGCCGCGUGUGUGAAGAAGGUCUUCGGAUUGUAAAGCACUUUAAGUUGGGAGGAAGGGCAGUAAGUUAAUACCUUGCUGUUUUGACGUUACCAACAGAAUAAGCACCGGCUAACUUCGUG